GAUGAACGCUAGCUACAGGCUUAACACAUGCAAGUCGAGGGGUAACGAGAGGAAAGCUUGCUUUCCUUGUCGACGACCGGCGCACGGGUGAGUAACGCGUAUCCAACCUGCCCCCAACUAGGGAAUAACCUUGCGAAAGUAAGACUAAUACCCUAUAAUUUCCUCAGAUGUCAUCUGACGAGGAAUAAAGAUUUAUCGGUUGUGGAUGGGGAUGCGUCUGAUUAGCUUGUUGGCGGGGUAACGGCCCACCAAGGCAACGAUCAGUAGGGGUUCUGAGAGGAAGGUCCCCCACAUUGUAACUGAGACACGGUCCAAACUCCUACGGGAGGCAGCAGUGAGGAAUAUUGGUCAAUGGGCGGAAGCCUGAACCAGCCAAGUAGCGUUCAGGAUGACGGCCCUAUGGGUUGUAAACUGCUUUUAUACAGGAAUAAAGUUAGCCACGUGUGGUUAUUUGUAGGUACUGUAUGAAUAAGGACCGGCUAAUUCCGUGCCAGCCGCCGCGGUAA
rnacentral:rRNA from 1 species